GGAUAAAUGAUCGCGGCUGUCAAACCGCAAGGUGACAGGUGAGGAAAGUCCGGGCUUCAAAGGGCAGGGUGCCGGAUAACGUCCGGUGGAGGUAACUCCCAGGCUAGUGCAACAGAAAAGAACCGCCAGCGUCUGCUGGUAAGGGUGAAACGGUGAGGUAAGAGCUCACCGCCAUUCUGGUAACAGGAUGGGCGGAUGUAAACCCCACUCGAAGCAAGACCAAAACGAAACCAUGUGGCGGCCCGUCACGUUUCAAGGUAGGUCGCUUGAGCUGUCUGGUAACAGGCAGCCUAGAUAGAUGAUCAUUCACGACAUAACCCGGCUUAUCGUCCGGCCUG
rnacentral:RNase_P_RNA from 1 species